CAACAACUGUAGGAAACUGAACACAGAGGCCCUGUAGUCUGAAGGAGGAAUUCCUCAGCUUUGAUUUCAGUCAAUUACAGUCAGGGACAGUUUGUUUGAAUUGAUUUUAGACUGGAUUAGUUAAAACAAGUAACAAUGUAAGUUUGCAUAAAUACUAUUACAUGCCAUUCAUCUAGUGUUGGACUGGGAUUAUAAAUGAUGGUGAGAAUCCAAAAACAGACCAGCCUAAUCCCGAGAGAAGAGUAUAGAGCUCUUUGUUUUCAUCAACAUUUUUAUAUGUAUCUCCUGCUUUGAUAAAAGCAACACAAUGCACUGUUACAGUGAUGCAUAAUAGUCAAUGGUCUCACUUGUCCCUGCACUUUGUAACCUCAGUGAGCAGGUAGGAUCACAGAGCGCUUGUAUGGCAGUACAUCACAAGUCAGCACCAACUAUCACCAAUUUUGGUGAAAAUGGAAAAAAUUUUUCUGGAAAAAAUGUUUUCUGGUUUUCCCUCUUACUAUGGGUCUUCCAGCUGCUCUGCCUCAACCGAUUUAUGGAGUUUCUUGAAAGCAACCUGUAACCUCAGUGAGCGUAUCGGAGCUACAAGUUAGCUCUGCUAGCGGACUCGGCUCAGAGCACCUCCGCAGAGUGUUGGUGGGUACACACCCUUUCCACCCAGGAAAGUGCACAACACAGCUGGGCUCAGCAGCCUCUACGGACAUCAUGACAGAGGUAAAGAGCCCGAAGAAGACUUUGACGGAGGAGGCUCUGAAGAGAGUAACCAAGCAGGAGGCAAGAUACAAGAGUCUCAGACUGGCUGCUUUUUUUUUUUGCUUGUUGGCAACAUCUUUACUGAAUAAAAGGCAGCAGACAGAUGCUGAGCUGGAUGGACAUUCACAGAGGAUGCCACAUCAGCGGCUCUCCACUCAGUCUUCACACACCUGGAGAAUAAGAACAGCUACAUCCAGAUGAUGUUUGCGAAGAUGUGAAAUCCUGAAGGACAGAAGCUGUCAUCAGUUGAACAAAGUGUCUGUAUUGGGUUCCUAAUACCACAACAUGUAUUGCCAGUCACCAGAGGUGGCAAGUAACGAAGUAAAAAUACUUUGUUACUGUACUUAAGUAGAUUUUUCAGGUAUCUGUACUUUACUUGAGUAUUUAUUUUUCUGACGACUUUUUACUUUUACUCCCUACAUUAAAUUUUUUUUUUUUGUACUUUCUACUCCUUACAUUGUCAAAACAGGCUUGUUACUUUUUUUUUUUUUUACGUGACUACCUAGAGAGGGAAAGUCAACCACUGAGAGAAGCGGCGUGAGUUACAGGUUAUGUUAGAGAGAAAACUUGCAGCAGCGACAUGGAGAAAGAAAGUGAACCAACCAGGGAACGACGACGCAUCAUAUUCGGAGAAGCAAGACAUUCCCCUCCAUGACCUUAUUUAAGAGAACUGUUUGAGGUUGUCGGCUCCAAGAAUGAUUCAUGGCGAAUGCGUUGUGUCCUGUGCCAACCUAAAAACCACGAGCUUCUGGCGUUCAAGAACUCUCCGUCAAAUCUGAAUAAACACAUCCAGGUAAUUGUAUUUUCAGUUGUUAUCAUUAGCUCAUGUAGCAUUUCUUGUAGGCUAGUUUACAACGUUAGCAAUGCUAUGGGAACACAUUGUUAUGAUACUAUAG
rnacentral:lncRNA from 1 species